rnacentral:tRNA from 1 species
AUAAAGAGCCAAAUAGGUUAAACAAACCCUUGAAUUGUGGUUUCAAAAAUGUAUUUUACUUUGGCUC